GAUGAACGCUGGCGGCGUGCCUAAUACAUGCAAGUCGAACGCACAGCGAAAGGUGCUUGCACCUUUCAAGUGAGUGGCGAACGGGUGAGUAACACGUGGACAACCUGCCUCAAGGCUGGGGAUAACAUUUGGAAACAGAUGCUAAUACCGAAUAAAACUUAGUGUCGCAUGACACAAAGUUAAAAGGCGCUUCGGCGUCACCUAGAGAUGGAUCCGCGGUGCAUUAGUUAGUUGGUGGGGUAAAGGCCUACCAAGACAAUGAUGCAUAGCCGAGUUGAGAGACUGAUCGGCCACAUUGGGACUGAGACACGGCCCAAACUCCUACGGGAGGCUGCAGUAGGGAAUCUUCCACAAUGGGCGAAAGCCUGAUGGAGCAACGCCGCGUGUGUGAUGAAGGCUUUCGGGUCGUAAAGCACUGUUGUAUGGGAAGAACAGCUAGAAUAGGAAAUGAUUUUAGUUUGACGGUACCAUACCAGAAAGGGACGGCGAAAUACGU
rnacentral:rRNA from 1 species